rnacentral:rRNA from 1 species
AACGAACGCUGGCGGCAGGCUUAACACAUGCAAGUCGAGCGCCCCGCAAGGGGAGCGGCAGCCGGGUGAGUAACGCGUGGGAACGUACCUUUUGGUUCGGAACAACUCCGGGAAACUGGAGCUAAUACCGGAUAAACCCUAACGGGGAAAGAUUUAUCGCCGAAAGAUCGGCCCGCGUCUGAUUAGCUAGUUGGUGAGGUAACGGCUCACCAAGGCGACGAUCAGUAGCUGGUCUGAGAGGAUGAUCAGCCACACUGGGACUGAGACACGGCCCAGACUCCUACGGGAGGCAGCAGUGGGGAAUAUUGGACAAUGGGCGCAAGCCUGAUCCAGCCAUGCCGCGUGAGUGAUGAAGGCCUUAGGGUUGUAAAGCUCUUUUGUCCGGGAAGAUAAUGACUGUACCGGAAGAAUAAGCCCCGGCUAACUUCGUG